rnacentral:sRNA from 1 species
GCUGGGCAUAGUGGUGCAUGCCUGUAAUCCAAGGGGCUUGGGAGGCUGUGGAAGGAGGAUCAAGAGGUCAAUGCCAGCCUCAGCAAUUUAGCAAGGCUCUGAGAAACUUAGUGAGACCCUGUCUCUA